UACGGAGGGUGCAAGCGUUAUCCGGAUUCACUGGGUUUAAAGGGUGCGUAGGUGGAUUGGUAAGUCAGUGGUGAAAUCUCCGGGCUUAACCCGGAAACUGCCAUUGAUACUAUCAGUCUUGAAUACCGUGGGGGUCAGUAGAAUAUGUCAUGUAGCGGUGAAAUGCUUAGAUAUGACAUAGAAUACCAAUUGCGAAGGCAGCUGGCUACACGAAUAUUGACACUCAGGCACGAAAGCGUGGGGAUCAAACAGG
rnacentral:rRNA from 1 species